UCCGGUUUGACACCAGCAGUCUCCUCAGAGUGCCCAACUUAAUGGUGGCAACUAAGGACAAGGGUUGCGCUCGUUGCGGGACUUAACCCAACAUCUUACGACACGAGCUGACGACAGCCAUGCAGCACCGGUGCAGCACCCUCGAAGGCGGCCCGAUUUCUCGGGCAUGCAGCUGCAUGUCAAACCUGGGUAAGGUUCUGCGCGUUGCGUCGAAUUAAACCACAUGCUCCACCGCUUGUGCAGGCCCCCGUCAAUUUCUUUGAGUUUUAACCUUGCGGCCGUACUCCCCAGGCGGAUGACUUAACGCGUUAGCUGCGCCACCGAAACGCUAAGCGCCCCGACAGCUAGUCAUCAUCGUUUACGGCGUGGACUAC
rnacentral:misc_RNA from 1 species